rnacentral:rRNA from 1 species
UACGUAGGGACCAAGCGUUGUUCGGAUUUACUGGGCGUAAAGGGCGCGUAGGCGGCAAUUCAAGUCAGUUGUGAAAUCUCUGAGCUUAACUCAGAACGGUCAAGUGAUACUGCUUUGCUAGAGUGCAGAAGGGGCAACCGGAAUUCUUGGUGUAGCGGUGAAAUGCGUAGAUAUCAAGAGGAACACCGGAGGUGAAGACGGGUUGCUGGGCUGACACUGACGCUGAGGCGCGAAAGCGAGGGUAGCAAACGGG